UCGCCUGUUUUUCAAAAACAUCGCUGGAUCUACUUCCAGCCAGAUCUGCCCAGUGAACUUAAACGGCCGCAGUAUCCUAACUGUGCUAAGGUAGCGUAAUCAUUAGCUUUUUAAUUGAAAGCCUGUAUGAACGAUUCGACGAAAGACAGCCUGUGUCUAAAGUACCCUUAACUUUCUUAGGGAGUUAAAAAGCUCCUCCUUCUCUGAGGGGCGACAAGACCCUGUAAAACUUCACUCUUACGGCAGAAUUUCUUGGAACUUUCUCCUCCCUUCCGAGUUCUACUGGGGCGGUACCUUCUACUUUAAACAAAACUUACCUUAACGGAGUGUCCGACUUUACCAACCUCUACUGAAAUAAAGAACAAGUUACUUCAGGGAUAACAGCGCAAUGGGACCUGAGAGUUCUUAUCAACGGCCCCGCUUACGACCUCGAUGUUGAAUUGAACCCCUGCCUGGAGCAGAAGCUAGGAGAGGAAGUCUGUUCGACUUUUAAAUUUUUACAUGAUUUGAGUCCAAACCGGA
rnacentral:rRNA from 1 species